GUAACACAGGUGAGGAAACAUGAAGGAAGUUCUCCUCGGGGUUUAGCCUCAGCUUGCUGGGAGGUUACUCUAUCAAUCAACUACUUCACUAGUCAGUCUCUGUACUUCUCUCAAUAAACAUUGAUUCGUGUCAGUAAAGUGUCUUGCACUGCUAAGACCUAGAGGAAAAAAAGAAGGAGAUAGAAGCUUUCUGGAGAAGACUGCUCAGUGGUCUGCUGGGAAGGCACGGAUGUACCACAUGGACCAUUAGAUUGCAUCUGACAAAGGCACAUCAGUGGGGAUGUACACUCUCUCACCCAGGGCUGAGGGAAUGUAUGAAACCCACAGAAGACGAGGAACCAAGUACAUCGGGGAUGACUCCUUGAUUUCUUAACCGGGCUCCAUCACUGGCUGCUUAUGUAACCCAGGCAAGACCUUCUUUGAAGCCAAUCACAUUCCGUGAUUAUGGAUUUUUUAAUCUAAUCAUAGUCCAUGAAUAUCCCAAUUUUCAUUUUCCCACCAAUUGCACCACGCUGCUGGAUCACAAGGAGGAUUCUUUACCAGCUGAGCUUUGAGGGAAGCCCAAAGGUUGGCCUGCUGCAUUGGCCAGGAAUCGAACCUGGGUCAGCUGCUUGAAGGCAGCUAUGCUCACCACUAUAUCACCAAUGCUGAAGAAAACAUGAUCCUACAUCAUGUAAGUAGAGCUCAUCCUAUGAGUUCAAAGCCUGAAUACAAAAAAAGAUUGACCUGUCCCAAGGGAAUUCUAUGACCAGGCUGCAAGUGUGCUCAAACUGCAAACUUCCCUGGGUUUCCAGCCAGCCUGCCUGCUCUGCAGGUUUUGGACUUGCCGGCCUCCAUGAUCACAUGAGCCAACUUCUUAAAAAUAUACAUAUUCACUUCCUACUCAUUCUAUUUCUCUGGACACUCCUGACAUACGCUUAUUCAAACUGCAGGAUGCAGAGACAGGGGCUUGGCUAGAGGUUUAAAGAGAAUCGUUGGACAUGGCACAGAAGCAGAAGCACAGGGGGUGUGGAGGGUUGAAGAGACUGAAUGGCGUGACCCAGCCUCCCAGAACCCAUUGCUGUGCCGCCCCUCCACAUUGGGUUUUCACACUCAGUCCACUGCUUUGUUGGAGCACGAGGAGACGACAGUGGACUGACGUGCACGUGAAACACCCGUCUCAUACCGGCUGUCCUUUCUGCACAGAAGGAAAUGCCAUUGCACACCACCUGCUGACAAAGGAGGAUCUUCUAUACAAAGAAGGGGUUUGACAGGUGUUUCAGGAAGUGGAGAGCUAUACCUGGAGCUGGCAAGUCACGGUGGAUUCCAGGUAUUGUCCCAGCCUGGGCUGAAUCCAUCAUGAAAGGGCUAGGGCUGGAGUCUCUUCAGCCCACUUGGCUUUAUCCUCACAGGUCAGGUGUGCUUGGAAUUUCAGGUUAAGUGAAAUAGCUCCAAUGGAUGUGAAGAGCCUGAUAUGCCAACCCGGGCUCCCUCUAGAGUUACAGACAGGGGAUGCCCAAGAGUGACUUUCUCAGGGCAGAGAGAGGGGCCAUUUAUAGGAAAAAAAAAAAAAAGUACUCCUACAAUCCUUCCUCAGCAGCUGCUGCAAGUGCAGGGUCCUGGGAUGCGGCAGAUUUGCCAG
ensembl:lncRNA